rnacentral:lncRNA from 10 species
CAGUACGUGUGGGCAGGGAAGAGCUCAAGAAAUGAGUUGCCUGCAAGCUGCUCCCCGGCACAGGAUGGACUGUGGUAUCUCCUGGAGAUUGCUCCAUCAUUACACGAAAAGUUGCCUCCUCGUUCUUUCUUAGUGGCUAUGUAGCAUGCCAUUGUGGAGAUGUACAACAACAUACCCAACCGGAUCCUUAACACUGAACAAUAGAUUGUUACCUAUCUUUUAUUUUGCAUGGGACAGAAUCUCUGAGCUGGAUAAAACAGAAGAGGCACUGAAUGAAUAUUGACAUUUUGUUCUACCUGCUGCCAUCCUCCUUUUAAGAAAUACUGAUUUCUAAACAACAUGGAGAGGCUAUUGGAAGAAACAGAUGUCACCCUUCCUGCUUUACACACAGGAAGAUACAACACUUCUCUGUUUUGAUGCUGCCCUCAAACAGCAACUGAAUCUUGGGAAGAGGAGCUACUUAGUUUUGCCAAAACCAAAUUCAUCUUUGUGGGCAGACCAGCCUCAAUGUCUAACAGCCUUCACCAAAGAAAAAUCAUCUUCAGGGUAAAUUUUUUAGGUAUAGGGAAGCCUAGGGUGCAGUCUAGGUCAAGGUCACCUCUCCCUUCCACACAGCAUGACUCAGAACUCCAAUUCUACUUGGGCUCUGAUUUAGGACAUUCAUAGUCUUUGGACAAAAAAGCUCCCAAAUGGUGAGGUGGGGAAGUCUCUGCAGUUAGAUUUUGUGGACUUUGGGCAAGUUACUUAACCUUUCUGAGGCUGCUACCGGCAAAAAUGGGAAAACAAUACCCACCUGUCAGAAGUGACUGUGAGGAUUAAGAAAAACAAUGCCUAUGUAAAUUGCGAAGCGAAGUGCCUGAAUUCGGAAAUGUUGACUCUUACUAAUAAAACAAUGCAAAGCCA